UUUAUCCCUGCUAGCAAAACUAUGGUUGCUCUUCUUACUGAUGUUGGCAGGAUGAAAAUACCUCGCUGUUAAGUGCUGCUUCUUUCACAGGGAGAAACUUCACGCCUGCAGCAAGCAUUGAAGAGACAAAUGUUACUUCGGAUAACUUCAGUGACAGAACAUGGCAGAAGAGUGAUGGGUUUAGGAAAGAUACUCAGGAGCAUGCAGACGUGACCUUUUCUGUCAAACAGAUCCAGGGGUCCAUUAUCCCAGGCCUUACGAUAUCUUCUUG